GAUUCCCCUAGUAACUGCGAGUGAAGCGGGAAAAGCUCAAAUUUAAAAUCUGGCCGCCUUUGGCCGUCCGAGUUGUAAUCUAGAGAAGUGUUACCCGCGUCGGACCGUGUACAAGUCUCCUGGAAUGGAGCGUCAUAGAGGGUGAGAAUCCCGUCUUUGACACGGACUACCGAGGCUUCUGUGGUGNGCUCUCAAAGAGUCGAGUUGUUUGGGAAUGCAGCUCAAAAUGGGUGGUAAAUUCCAUCUAAAGCUAAAUAUUGGCGAGAGACCGAUAGCGAACAAGUACCGUGAGGGAAAGAUGAAAAGAACUUUGGAAAGAGAGUUAAACAGUACGUGAAAUUGCUGAAAGGGAAACGCUUGAAGUCAGUCGCGUCGUCCGGGAAUCAGCCUUCCUUCUGGUUGGCGUACUUCCUGGUCGACGGGCCAGCAUCAGUUUUGACCGGUGGAAAAAGUUGUAGGGAAUGUGGCACCUCCGGGUGUGUUAUAGCCUUGCUUCGUAUACAUCGGUUGGGACUGAGGAACUCAGCACGCCGCAAGGCCGGGAUUCGUCCACGUUCGUGCUUAGGAUGCUGGCAUAAUGGCUUUAAUCGACCCGUCUUGAAACACGGACCAAGGAGUCUAACAUGCCUGCGAGUGUUUGGGUGGAAAACCCGAGCGCGUAAUGAAAGUGAAAGUUGAGAUCCCUGUCAUGGGGAGCAUCGACGCCCGGACCAGACGUUCUCUGACGGUUCUGCGGUAGAGCAUGUAUGUUGGGACCCGAAAGAUGGUGAACUAUGCCUGAAUAGGGUGAAGCCAGAGGAAACUCUGGUGGAGGCUCGUAGC
rnacentral:rRNA from 1 species